rnacentral:rRNA from 1 species
UACGUAGGGGCGAGCGUUGUCCGGAAUGAUUGGGCGUAAAGGGCGCGCAGGCGGCCUGUCAAGUCAGUAGUGGAAGUCCAUUUUUCAAGGAUGGAAGUGCUAUAGAAACUGAUGGGCUUGAGUGCAGGAGAGGUUAUCGGAAUUCCCGGUGUAGCGGUGAAAUGCGUAGAGAUCGGGAGGAACACCAGUGGCGAAGGCGGGUAACUGGACUGCAACUGACGCUGAGGCGCGAAAGUGUGGGGAGCAAACAGGAUUAGAUACCCU